GGAAAGGAAAGAACACAAACCCUAGUUCGGAAAAUUGAAGAAAAAGUGUGGGAUUUCAAGGGAUUAAGCUAAUAAAGGUAAAAUUUUGUGAUUUUAUCUUGUGAUUUACAAUACCCAUGCUUUCUUUUUCGUUUUCCAUGCUUAGAACUCAAGUUUGCAUGAUGAACCCAUGCUGGCCAAAUUUGAGAGGAGAGGUUUUGAGCAUUGAUUUUGCUAGAUUUCAAGCUAAUUAAGUGUUUUUGGUUGUUUGGUAAUGGAAAGUAUGAAAAUUUAGUAAGGAAUCACUUUGUUCUUCACAAACCCACAAGAGACCGAAUUUUCUAGGGAGGAUAUUGUGGCUGAAAUUGAUGAUAUUUCAUGAUAUAUUGGUGGUAUUUAAUGAUUGGUGAGGCUAGAAAUUUAAUGGGAAAAUUUGGCAUGAAAAUCUGAAUUUUUAUCGAAUGUAUAGACAUGUGCAAUUUAUGGUCCAGACUAAUAAAUUGAAUCAUAUUCACAUUCAUUGAGGCAUUUUAAGUAUAAUUGGAGUGUAGAAAGUGAAAGAAAUCUAUUUGGAGUUAAAUUGGAGGUUUUAGCCAAUUACACCGAGAAUAAUACGAAUUAGGUCGAAUACCGUAUUUAAACGGCUAUUCAGACAUUUUGCGUCACAUUUCGUGCAUUCAUAUAGAUUUAUAGAGCCUGAAAUAGUUUAUGAUAAAUUGACACAAUUUAUUGAAAUUCGUGUCACGUAUGAUGUAUAGGUGGUGAGCCCUCUAACAAGGAAAAAGAGAUUGUGGCCAAAGACCGAGAAUAGGAGUAUAUCGAACUCCUAGUACUGUUAGUAACCUUAUCAUCAUCUUAAUUAUCUAAAGUAUGUUUAUUUGAUUUGUGAAUUUUAUGGAAAAUGAAUUAAAUGAUUAAUUUUUCGAUUUUAUAAACAAAAUGUGAUUUAAUAAAAUGAUUUCAUAAAAUUGUUUUAAAAUUGAAUGAUGGUUUGAAAAUAGAGUAAUUGGAGACGGUUUCAUGUGUUGUAAAUUCAUGGUUUGAAUCGAACGACUUAUGAUAAUAUUUCCAUGAAUCGCUGAACUGGUAUUUGUGUUGAAAUAUAUAUGAACUAUGUAUUUAGCCUUGAAAGGCUGUGAAUUACGAUAAUUGCCAUAUCAUGUUAUUGAAUUUUAUUGAUUGGUGGGAUAAUUAUUAGCUUACUACAGUAAGCGGGUUCCGUAAACCAGCCUGUUAGAGGAGCACAGUAACCCCGUUAUAUUCUUACCUCAGUAUGAGAGGUGCGGGUGGAUAACUCCUGAGGCUAACACUUUUAGUGUUCACUUCACGUCAAACCACCACGUGAGGGGGAACUCAGCCAACGUCAAGGAACGGUUAUGUUUUCAAAAUUAAAACAUGAUUUAUGCGUAUAUAACUUUUUAACAGCCUUGGCAGACUCGGUUUGGAAUAGCCUUCGGCCAAGGUAUCCUUGAUAACUGAGUAUGAUAAUGAUUUUGGCACAAGUCAAAGUUUUAAGAAAUUCAUAAGCCAUGUUAAUUACUCGAUUUAUAUGAAUUGAUUUAAAUUGGUUGAAACAAGUUGAAAGGUGAUGAAUUUCAGUGUGUUAAACUGUUUUAUCUGUCUCAAUUUACUCGACUUUAGAUGGUUUAGAUGGUAUCUAUUUACUAACUAGAUUUUACAAUCUCACCACCCUUCUUUUCAACCAUUUCAGGCCCGGGGUAGCAUGUCGAUAGCAGAUAUCAUCAAGGAUUAUAGUCCGCUUUACUACUCCAAAAACUGUAGGUUUACGGCCUUUAUGCACUUUUGUUUUUUGUGGGCCCACGAGUCACUAUAAAGUAAAUUUCAUAUCCCGGUUAUCUGUAUUAUAGUACGUAUGAAUUUAUUUAGCUUUUACAUUACAAAAAUUAUUUACCGAUGACUCUAUAAAUAUUGUUUUACAAGAAAUUAGAAUAUUUUAUUGAAUAGUUUUAUUUUAUUCAAAUAGUUGCAAUAUUAUUUUUAAUAAAUAUUUUAGACACCCAAAAUUAUUUUAAAUCAUGAAAUAUGUGUUUUCCACUCAUCUAUUACAUCUUUAGUCAGGUUCGAAAAAUUUUGAGGAAAAAUGAUGAAAACGCCCCUGUGAGGUGAAAUUUAUUUUGCUACGGUUUUGAAAGGGAAAAAGCUUAAGAUUCUUUAAAAACGAGGUUUGGCGAUGAUUACUCAUAGGGGAGAUGAAAAAAAAUGGUACUAAAGCCUUGCGGGAUUCUGAUGGACUCCGGGUAACGAAUGUCUACCGAGACGUCACUAAGGUUGUCAUGGGCUCGAGGGGAGUAUCGAGUUGUGACAUUUCGAAUGGUAUCAGAGCAUUUGGUUUUAAAGGUUAGAACAUUUGGUUUUAAAAUUGUUUUAAAAAAUACUACAGUGUUAGUGUGGCCCCAAGUUAAGUUAAGUUAGAUUAGAUUUUGUUGGAUAGAUACAUUUGCAUAUAGAAACCUACCUGUCCUUGUGGGAUAUAAAUGAUCAAGAAAUUACAAUUUGGUUACGUAUAGGUUGUGGUGCACGGAUUGCACUUACUAUGCCUAGGAGAGACAGUGAUUCCGAUACCUCACAUUGUACUAGUGAGGGAUCAAUAGAUUCCACUGUUGAAAGUCGAUGUCGUUCUGAACCCAGUAAUCUAGAAAGAUAUCCAUUUAGAGUUCCUAUUAAUUAGACUCCAUUGGAUUUGGGAGCGAAGGUUCGGAUAAAGGAAAGCACUAGUACUAGUGAGACUGAUGAAAGUGUUGAUAGUAACAACGUUAAUGAAGGCAUAAGAAAUUUCAUCUUGAAAGAAAUAGAGGAAUGUAGGAAAAUCCAAUAGGCUUGGAUUGAAGAACAAAAAAAAAAAAGAAAGCUCCAAGAGAAUCCGAAAGAGGAUUAGGGUGAUGAUGACCCUAAAGAUACUUAGUGUUUUGUUGAAGUUGUACUACUUUAACUCUGGAUAGAUGUAGUAUAAAGGAAAUAGUAACUACCUGUAUAAAGGAAUUAAGAGUUGACUUUUAUUUUAUAUAAUGUGAAUGAAGUAGUUGUUUAAAUGACUGGAUAUAUAUAUAUGGGAACCUUUUUGGUAGGACAGAAGUGGAUUAGUGGCAUAAUCAUUGAAGAGGGGCAUUCACCUUAGCGGUGUGAUUAGUUGCCUUAUAUAAUUACUGAGAAUUGACGUAGAAAUUCAUCAAUGGUACGGGCAACUACAAUACGUGAUAAGUGACUUCAAAAUUUCUUAUGGAAAAGGUAAAAUUUGAAAUUUCAGUUGCAGUUGCAAAUUUGAAAGGAUAUAAGAGACGCUUAUAAUGGAUUUUUUAUUCUAUGAGGAUUGUGAAUAUAAGUGUAAAGAAAGAUGAAGAUAUGAGAUAUCGAUGAGGAAUAUCAAUGUUAAGUGAUGAAGUAUGAAUAACGAAUUACAAGUGUGGUAUGGUAAAUGAGUUAAUGUAAAGUGUUGCUAUCAGAAUUUAUAAUUCUUGUCUCAACUCAGUUGAAUAAAAAAGGGCUAGUAACAACACAAGGUCGAUUAUGUGGAUAUAAAGCUGAAAUGGUUAAAGGCGUUCCCUUCGGGGGGGAAGCAAAAGGUUUGGGGUUCGAAACUUGGCGAGAAGGUCAUGCAAGGACUGUCAUGCCGCCGUUAGGCGCGACGUAUGCGAGUAAGUCAAGUGAUGGGGACCCAGACGUAACAAUACCUCGGAGUAGGCCUCGAAGGGGAUGCCACAUAAAUGGCUAAGUUACGGGUUAAGUGAUCACAUGUUGUGAGACAUAAGUUUAAGGUAGAUAUCCCCAAGAAAAUACUCAAGAGAAGUUCUGCCAUGGAUCUCGUGAAAGCAAGCACUAAGUUAUGCUAUUAUAAAAAGGAAGCUGUAAGCUGAGAGUGAUAUUAGUAUUAAUAUUGAAAAAUACUUGAGGAGAAUCUAGUUUCAAGUUUUGCAAUUUCAAGUGCAAUUUGUAAAUAAAUUAAGGAAGAAUGAUGUUAUAUUCAUAUGAAAUAGUGGAACAAAGGAUGAUUGAAGUUGACCUUGAUAAUGAAGUUAGAUAAUGAAACUUUCCUAAUAUAUUAUGGAAUUUGGAAUUCGAAGAUGCUUGAGGCAUACAUGAUUCCAAUGAGUCUGAGUUUUAAGUGACAAAUCAAUAUCGGAAUGCAAGAAGGAUACAAGGUAAUAUAAAGGCAUGAAGAAUAAUCGAAGAAAAAGGAUGACUCUUAGGAAUUGUGGUAUUGCAUAAGAUGAAAUGAUCAAGUUAAGAUAAAUCUUUGAAGUAUCAAUGGGAUUAUAAAGCAUACACGCAUAAUAGAUUAUAAUUCAAUGGAGAUGAUAUUAUGAUGCAAUGAUAUAUAGUACAAGGAAACUUAAACAUAUAAUUGGAAAUGAACAAAGAGAAAUUAGUCUAAAGGUAUUUGAAAAUAGAGACCCAUAUACAUAAUGAGGAAUAUGGACAUUUGAAUGUGCGUGUAUACGUAUAUGUGGAGAUUAAUGUUCCAAUCGUAAACUUGCGAUAAAAAGAUAGUUUUGAAAAUUAUGGUUUCCAUGAUCAUGAAAUAUAUGGAGAUUAUCAAUAUGUAGGCAUACACUUGGAGUUAUACAUCUUGUGAUCCCCAUGCAUCAUAUGGAAGGAGAUAUUCCAUAGGGGAGCUUACCCUAAUUUAUGGUUACAUGACAAUAGGUUUGACAUGAAAUUGACAGUGCCUUGGCAUAAAUGUAGAAUGUAGUGUGAAAGGUUAAAAAGCCACAUAUACUUUAACAAAGCCAAUAACAUGAAGGAGGGGGAGAUAUGGUUGUUGAUAGGCUGAGCAUAAGGACUUAAGGAUAAUUAAUGGAAUUAUAUUAAGUUAGAUGGUAUGAUCCGAAUUAAGAACAUGGACGCCUUGGGAGAUUUUGAAAUAAUGUCUAGUGGGGUUAGUGAGCUAAAGUGUUAUCGGGCAUGCAAUGCACAACUAAAGUUAUGAUUGACUUUGAAGAUAAGCCUUGGAUUGUUUAAGUUCUCAAUGGAACUUUAUUAAAGGAAGCGUAUGGAAAAGCAUCAGAGAAUAUAUUAGUUUGACUUACUAUAAGAGGUCAAAAGUUGGAUGGCCAUGAGUGGCUUGUAAGUAACCUCAGAAUGUAUAGGUAAGUGUGCAAGAGAGCUAUGAUUGAUAAAUAAGGGUAGAACUUUAAUGAUGAGACAGUGUUCACUGCAUUAGACCUUGAACUAUAAAAUAUGGAUAUGUAUCCACCUUAUGAAUACUCUGAUGUGAUAAAUUCGAAAAACUUUUCGCAAUGAGAAAACAUUAAAGCUUAAGGAGCAAAUGGCUAUACAGUCAAGUUAGACUCAUGACUGACAUGUCACACAAGUAUGAGGAUGGGAUACAAGCAUAAGUAUACUUGGAAAUACUAGUUUGAGAUAAUGAUUAUCCUACUGUUUUAUGGACCCGAUGAGGUUCUGGUCUCGACAUAACUGUAAACGCAAAACAUAAAUUAUGGAAUGUACUUCGCCAUAAGUUUCAAUUUAUUUUUAAGUAAUUAUCAAGGCAAAGUACUUGAUAAUGGUAGGCAAAGGUUGAAUUGUGUUCCAAAUGUUUAGAAAAUGAGGGUGAUACGGUUUGAUUAAAUGACACUAUUAUGUGUAAGGGAAUAGAAAUACGCUACGGGGACUAAAAAGAUCUACUUAAAAAAGAAAUGGUGAUUCGAAAAUUCAAGUACUCAUGUACAAGUAAGGGUUUGGUGAUGAGAUAUGACAUAGGGUUGAAUUACUCCAAUAUGAACUUUGACUAUAAAAAUUUGAUUUAUAUAAUACAUGUUGUUAGGGGAUGAUGCCAACUAGUGGUUAACUCUCAUAUGAGAAUGGAAUAUGUGCAAUCGAAUUCAUGUAAUCGAAAGUGUGAAAAUUUGCCUUGAUUGGCAUAAGCCAAUGACUCAAAAUGAAUGAUUAUGGAUUUCAUCUUCUAAGGUAAAAAGGGCUAAAGGAAGUUGAUACCAGAAAUGUUUUGAUAAAUGAUACUUUGAUUUUAAAGUGUACUGGAGUUUUAUUUUGGAGAAUAUGGUUCCUAAUGGUUAUCAAAUUUGAAUUAUCUGUGAUGUUAAAUAUAUAUAUGGAUAAAUAAAGAGUGUUUGAUCCUUAUGUAUUAUGAAAUGCUUGAAUAGGAAUUGUAGUGCACACCCCAUUAGGAGAAAAAUUGAUUUAGAAGUAGUUGUAAUAUGGAAAGAGUAUUCUGAAGUGGGAAUUAUUGAUUGUUGACAAGUGAUAAAGGUAGCGUAACGAUAAGAAAUCCCAUUAGAGGCUGAGCUACGUGGACAUAAGAGACUUUGGGAGAUAGUUAAGCAAAUGGUAUCAAGGAAAUGUAAUCUAUAGCACGGUUAAGCCGUACGCGAUAGACUAAUAUGAUUAAGAAGAUUGAAGCUACAUAAAUGUGAGGUAAACAUAAAUAUGAGGAUACGUACAGGAAUAAAUAAGAGCAUCCCAAUGGUUAAAGUAUUGUGGAUGUAUGCUCGAAUGGAAGAGAUGACAUGGGAAGUUGAACACCAGAUGAGAAGACAAUACCCCACCUUUUCUUUAAGUUCAGUAAAUGAAAUUUUGAGGUCAAAAUUUUAUUUUAAGGGGGGUAGUGCUGUCAAGCCCAACCUUAUAAAUUACUUGCCAUGUCCUUCAUGUGAUUGACAAUAUGCUUGCAUACUUGGAAAGCCUUGAAAAAUCGUCAAAAGUCGACAUUGUACCAAAGGGUACUAUUAAGUUGAAUUAAGCCUCGAACUAGUCCAAAUAGACAUCUUAAGAUGAAAUUGAGAAUUUUAAAACCUCAAAAUGACUUAAAAUGAUGAUUUGGAGUUCGAGGGCUAAAUUGGAGUCAAUUUGGAAUUUUCAUGUUCUAGGGGUAAAAUGGUAAUUUUGUCACCCAAGGAUAAAAUGGGAAUUUUUAAAAAAUAUUUUGAUCACAUUUGACUCAUUGGAGUAUGAUUUGAGUUUGAGAGGUGAAAAAUUUUAAUUCUAACAUUUUUGGAGUCCUAGGGGCAAAACGAUAAUUUUACGAGUUUACAGGGGCAAAGUUGGAAUUUUGGAAUCUAACACCACCUAGCACUUGUCAUGCCCAUGGAUUUCAGCCAUUAACAUUUUACAUUGUGGAUAAUUGAAACAUUUUAUGUGGUGGAGAGAGAUUGCUUAAUGGAUAAGUAUUACACAUGGACUAAUGAAAACAUGCCAUGUGUCAAGCUUGGAUUAUUCUAGAAUUUCCUCAUAAAAUCUAUUUAAAACUCUCUUAGUCUCACCCAUAUGGCCUGCCAAAGCAUGAAGUGAAGAGGAAAGGAAAGAACACAAACCCUAGGUGGGAAAAUUGAAGAAAAAGUGUGGGAUUUCAAGGGAUUAAGCUAAUAAAGGUAAAAUUUUGUGAUUUUAUCUUGUGAUUUACACUACCCAUGCUUUCUUUUUCAUUUUCCAUGCUUAGAACUCAAGUUUGCAUGAUGAACCCAUGCUGGCCGAAUUUGAGAGGAGAGGUUUUGAGCAUUGAUUUUGCUAGAUUUCAAGCUAAUUAAGUGUUUUUGGUUGUUUGGUAAUGGAAAGUAUGAAAAUCUAGCAAGGAAUCACUUUGUUCUUCACAAACCCACAAGAGGCCCAAUUUUCUAGGGAGGAUAUUGAGGCUGAAAUUGAUGAUAUUUCAUGAUAUAUUGUGGUAUUUAAUGAUUGGUGAGGCUAGAAAUUUAAUGGGAAAUUUUGGCAUGAAAAUAUGAAUUUUUACCUAAUGUAUAGACAUCUGCAAUUUAUGGUCCGGACUGAUAAAUUGAAUCAUAUUCACAGUCAUUGAGGUAUUUUAAGUAUAAUUGGAGUGUAGAAAGUGAAAGAAAUCUAUUUGGAGUUAAAUUGGAGGUUUUAGCCAAUUACACCGAGAAUAGUGCGAAUUAGGUCGAAUACCGUAUUUAAACGGCUAUUCGGACAUUUUGCAUCACAUUUCGUGCAUUCAUAUAGAUUUAUAGAGCCUUAAAUAGUUUAUGAUAAAUUGACACAAUUUAUGAAAAUUCGUGUCACGUAUGAUGUAUAGGUGGUGAGCCCUCUAACAAGGGUAAAGAGAUUGUGCCUGAAUACCGAGAAUAGGAGUAUAUCGAACUCCUAGUAUUGUGAGUAACCUUAUCAUCAUCUUUAAUUAUCUAAAGUAUGUUUUAUUCGAUUUUGUGAAUUUUAUGGAAAAUGAAUGAAAUGAUUAAUUUUUCGAUUUUAUAAACAAAAUGUGAUUUAAUAAAAUGAUUUCAUAAAAUUGUUUUAAAAUUGAAUAAUGGUUCGAAAAUAGAGUAAUUGGAGACGGUUUCAUGUGUUGUAAAUUCAUGGUUUGAAUCGAACGACUUAUGAUAAUAUUUGCAUGAAUGGCUGAACUGGUAUUUGUGUUGAAAUAUAUAUGAACUAUGUAUUUAGCCUUGAAAGGCUGUGAAUUACGAUAAUUACCAUAUCAUGUUAUUGAAUUUUAUUGAUUGGUGGGAUAAUUAUUAGCUUACUGCAGUAAGCGGGUUCCGUAAACCAGCCUGUUAGAGGGGCACAAUAACCCCGUUAUAUUCUUACCUCAGUAUGAGAGGUGCGGGUGGAUAACUCCUGAGGCUAACACUUUUAGAGUUCACUUCACGUCAAACCACCACGUGAGGGGGAACUCAGCCAACGUCAAGGAACGACUAUGCUUUCAAAAUAAAAGCAUGAUUUAUGCAUAUAUAACUUUUUAAUAGCCUUGGUGGACUCAGUUUGGGAUAGCCCUCAGCCAAGGUAUCCUUGAUGACUGAGUAUGAUAAUGAUUUUGGCACGAGCCAAAGUUUUAAGAAAUUCAUAAGCCAUGUUAAUUACUCGAUUUAUAUGAAUUGAUUUUAAUUGGUUGAAACAAGUUGAAAGGUGAUGAAUUUCAGUGUGUUAAACUAUUUACUCACUAGGAUUUCAUAAUCUCCCCACCCUCCUUUUCAACCAUUUCAAGCUCGAGGUAGCCUAUGGAUAGCAGAUAUCAUCAAGGAUUAUAGUCGGCUUUACUACUCCAAAAACUGUAGGUUUACUGCCUUUGUGCACUUUUGUUCCUUGUGGGCCCAUGAGUCACUGUAAAGUAAAUUUCAUAUCCCAGUUAUCUGUAUUAUAGUACGUAGGAAUUUAUUUAGCUUUUACAUUAUAAAAAUUAUUUACCGAUGACUCUAUA
rnacentral:lncRNA from 1 species